UGGCGGAUGGGUGAGUAACGCGUAGGAACCUAUCGCACAGUGGGGACAACGCUGGGAAACCGGAGCUAAUACCGCAUAAGCCUGGAAAGGGAAAGUCGCAAGACGCUGAGAGAGGAGUCCGCGGCCGAUUAGCUAGUUGGCAGGGUAAAAGCCUACCAAGGCAUUGAUCGGUAGCCGGCCUGAGAGGGCACACGGCCACACUGGCACUGAAACACGGGCCAG
rnacentral:rRNA from 1 species